CGGGGUGUAGCGCAGCCUGGUAGCGCACCUGCUUUGGGAGCAGGGGGUCGGAGGUUCAAAUCCUCUCACCCCGA
rnacentral:tRNA from 1 species